AACGUCUACCAAGGCGAUGAUGCAUAGCCCGAGUUGAGAGACUGAUCGGGCCACAUUGGGGACUGAGACACGGGGCCCAAACUUCUACGGGGGGAGGGGCAGCAGUAGGGGGAAUCUUCCACAAUGGACGCAAGUCUGAUGGAGCAACGCCGCGUGAGUGAAGAAGGUUUUCGGAUCGUAAAGCUCUGUUGUUGGUGAAGAAGGAUAGAGGUAGUAACUGGCCUUUAUUUGACGGUAAUCAACCAGAAAGUCACGGCUAACUACGUGCCAGCAGCCGCGGUAAU
rnacentral:rRNA from 1 species